GAAUUAAGAUAAUCAAAAAAAAGCUUCUAACUUAUUUUUAAGCGGAGAAUUACCGUUUUUAAUUCA
rnacentral:tRNA from 1 species